rnacentral:rRNA from 1 species
GACGAACGCUGGCGGCGUGCCUAAUACAUGCAAGUCGAACGCUUCUUUCCUCCCGAGUGCUUGCACUCAAUUGGAAAGAGGAGUGGCGGACGGGUGAGUAACACGUGGGUAACCUACCCAUCAGAGGGGGAUAACACUUGGAAACAGGUGCUAAUACCGCAUAACAGUUUAUGCCGCAUGGCAUAAGAGUGAAAGGCGCUUUCGGGGGUCGCUGAUGGAUGGACCCGCGGUGCAUUAGCUAGUUGGUGAGGUAACGGCUCACCAAGGCCACGAUGCAUAGCCGACCUGAGAGGGGGAUCGGCCACACUGGGACUGAGACACGGCCCAGACUCCUACGGGAGGCAGCAGUAGGGAAUCUUCGGCAAUGGACGAAAGUCUGACCGAGCAACGCCGCGUGAGUGAAGAAGGUGUUCGGAUCGUAAAACUCUGUUGUUAGAGAAGAACAAGGACGUUAGUAACUGAACGUCCCCUGACGGUAUCUAACCAGAAAGCCACGGCUAACUACGUG